UGGGGAAUAUUGGACAAUGGGGGGAACCCUGAUCCAGCCAUGCCGCGUGUGUGAAGAAGGUCUUCGGAUUGUAAAGCACUUUAAGUUGGGAGGAAGGGCAGUAAGCGAAUACCUUGCUGUUUUGACGUUACCGACAGAAUAAGCACCGGCUAACUCUGUGCCAGCAGCCGCGGUAAUACAGAGGGUGCAAGCGUUAAUCGGAAUUACUGGGCGUAAAGCGCGCGUAGGUGGUUCGUUAAGUUGAAUGUGAAAGCCCCGGGCUCAACCUGGGAACUGCAUCCAAAACUGGCGAGCUAGAGUAGGGCGGAGGGUGGUGGAAUUUCCUGUGUAGCGGUGAAGUGCGUAGAUAUAGGAAGGAACACCAGUGGCGAAGGCGACCACCUGGGCUCAUACUGACACUGAGGUGCGAAAGAGUGGGGAGCAAACAGG
rnacentral:rRNA from 1 species